GACGAACGCUGGCGGCGUGCUUAACACAUGCAAGUCGAACGGAAAGGCCCUGCUUUUGUGGGGUGCUCGAGUGGCGAACGGGUGUGUAACACGUGAGUAACCUGCCCUUGACUUUGGGAUAACUUCAGGAAACUGGGGCUAAUACCGGAUAGGAGCUCCUGCUGCAUGGUGGGGGUUGGAAAGCUUCGGCGGUUGGGGAUGGACUCGCGGCUUAUCAGCUUGUUGGUGGGGUAGUGGCUUACCAAGGCUUUGACGGAUAGCCGGCCUGAGAGGGUGACCGGCCACAUUGGGACUGAGGUACGGCCCAGACUCCUACGGGAGGCAGCAGUGGGGAAUAUUGCACAAUGGGCGGAAGCCUGAUGCAGCAACGCCGCGUGCGUGAUGACGGCCUUCGGGUUGUAAACCGCUUUCGCCUGUGACGAAGCGUGAGUGACGGUAAUGGGUAAAGAAGCACCGGCUAACUACGUG
rnacentral:rRNA from 1 species